rnacentral:tRNA from 1 species
AGGGCCAUAGCUCAGUUGGUAGAGCAGGAAAAAGGAGCUUUGCUAAAAGCUCAUGCAGCAAUUUUCUAUGGAAGAUUACUCCCCUUGUCGCUGGUUCGACUCCGGCUGGCCCUG